CUAAGACAGGAGAUGGAGCGCAAACAACUAUGCCCAAACAAGAUAUUACCGGUUGCACCAGAGGCCGUCUAAGAGGAAAGGGACUAGCGUUAAGAGGACUGAGUGAAGGUUUCUGGCAGAAGGAUGGAUGAAUAAUUGGCGACUCAGAUCAUUGCGGUGAAACUAAGGUGACAUUUUUGCUUCUCUGGAAGAAAGAAGUCUUUCUUGAAAUAAUGGAAGAAAUGCUUCAAGAUAAAAACAAAGAAAAGGAAUCUGAGAAGCCCAAGGAGAAUUUAACCCUUCUUCAGCAAGCUGGAGGGUGGAAGAUUGUGACAGUGAUGACAAAAACUUCUGAACUAUUGUUGCUGUCAUAGACUUGAAAUUCUUUCAGGGACCAGUUCUUGUAGGUCGUUCAGCCAAUUUCUGAAGAACAAGGCUGAUAGGGCAAUCAAUAUUUGCUAUGAAUUCCUGGGAGGGUCCCAAUGAUGCAGGUGUCUGAAGCAUCAGGCUGAUAUCCAAAUUCACCAGUGUCUCCUUCAUGACUCGUCCUCAGUUACCUACCGAACAUUGCCUGAGCAUACCAGAAAGGUCUAAGCUGUCUCCAAUCUGAACUGACAGUCUCCGCCUCAGGGGAUCUGUCUCCAGAAGAUUGUGGCUGUGAUAGUGCUGUAAUUGGCAACGGCUCCAGUGGAGGCAGCCUGUCCUUAGUAAGUCGUGAUGACAAGCAAAGUUGUACAUCAUUCCAGUUGGAGCCCUGAGUGAAUCCGGAUUGCCUCAAACCACGUUCACAACGACAGGCUGAAUUAAAGUCCUCAAAUUCAGGUCAAUGCUAUUGUUCUCUCUCCCUCAUUUCCUCCCUACCUCCCUCACUCUCAAAGGGGUGGUGGUGAUGGAGAGGGUGUAGAGCUGCCUGCCCAGGAAGGGUUAAUAUUGCACAAGGGCUGUGAACACAGAUCUGAUGAACAAUCAAACUCUUGAGAGUUGGGCUCCCAGGAAAAUAGGGCUUUGUGCUAAGGCCCAAUAGGAUUUCCCUAUCACUAAAAAAGAGUACCUCAGCUACUGUAUUUCCCAGUUUAUAUGUAAAAAACAAAGUGUUGCUGUUUGGGCCCAAUAGGAUUUCCCUAUCACUAAAAAAGAGUACCUCAGCUACUGUAUUUCCCAGUUUAUAUGUAAAAAACAAAGUGUUGCUGUUUGGUGAUCAGCAUUCCUCCUGGGUCUCCUUUACUACCUUCCUGGCAUUAGCUUAUCAGUCUCUGUAGUCUCUUUACAUUGUCCCUUUGACCUCUGAGACCCCUUUUUAAAUUUUAGCAUCUUCCUAGUGAGGUUCUUCAAUUGAAUGUAAUCAAUUUGCUCCACUUUAUAGCCUUGUAACUAGGAAUGCUUAGUUCCUGGUAUUAUGUAAAUAGCUCAAAACACUAUACCCCAGGGAUAAAAGGAACACCCUCCUUCCUGGCUUUUUUUAUAGUGAAGUAGACAAAAAUGCAGUAAGUUGGAAGAUGUGAAGUGAAGGGGAAAGAUUACUUUAUGACCUAUUGGGUAGGACUUUCCAUUUUGACUAAUAUCUAACUCAUUGUUUGCAAGAUAAUCAUUCCAUAUGGGACCUAUAGAAUGGGAUUGUGCAUUCUAAGGGAAUAACAGAGGUCUUGGCAAUUCCCUUGUUCAACACAAAAAAAAAAA